AGUUCAGCGAAGUAUGAGUCACGUGAUCAUCCACCAGCUGAGAGGAUCUGUGGGUUAUAUGAGACAAUCCCCUUCCGCCCCAAACAGGAAAGGUUAGAAUCCUGAGAACUGUUUGGAAUAAGGAAUCCAAAUAUUGUCUUCCAGCUUCACCUUGUCACGACAGUCCUCGCCAGGGACAGCUGAGGAUGGAAACCAGCCCUGCACACUGCUGGCUCUGGAGGCCUGGUAGAUUAACAGGCACCGGACUUACAAUUGGUCUCUUAAGCCUUUCAACUCUUUAGAAGCAAAGGGGAAGGCAUGGAGGGUGCCAUGAAAUCAAAGACAUUGUUCGUAAGCUCCUGGAUCUUAUCAGUGUGAGGAAGUGUUCAAAAAAGUUCUGUCCCCCCUAGAGACAAAAAGACCUCUUCUCUGCCUCCCAGCUCCCAUGGCGCCUCUCUCGAUACGUGGCCUCUUCUGAUACUUACCUCAGCUUGGACACAGCUCUCUGAAGAUCAUCUACAUCUCCAUUUAUGCCGUGUGCACGCAGUACCAACAGAGGUCAGAGGAGGGUGUCGGAUCCCCUGGAACUGGAGUCACAGAUUCUUCCUUGCGUGGAUGAAACAGUCCCAACGAACACUUUAAAAAGACAAAUGUUCCCGACAGCACUGGUUGAAUUCAAAACUCGGCAGAUCCAUGUUCUUAUCCUUAGACAAGAGAGGGGCCAUAACAAGAUGGAAUGACGGAACAGACGUGAGAGAUGAUGGUACAGUGACUCGGGUAACCCCAGAAAAGGGACAGCUCUUCUACAGCUCAGUGGGGACAGGGACAAAAAGAAACAAUUUCAUUUCAGUCCACCCAGAGGGUCUGCACUUCUCGGAGCCAGAAGGUGGAGAAGAGUAGGGAUGGAGGAAGUUCGAAGUUUUAGGAGUCUGCUCUUGGGUCCCUAGGCAUGAGGACAAGCUUUUCCUGUACUCAAUGCUCAUCUCUCAGUUGUGCCCACAUUGGUACACAUUACUUGCUUUCAACUGCUGCUGCUGCUGUUUCCUAAUUCAAUAAAGAUAUGGCUGGCUCAGCAGAGAGCUGUCAUCCA
rnacentral:lncRNA from 1 species